GAAAGCACCUUGCAAUAUAGAAGAAUAUUAACAAUAACAACCAAAAGAAAAAAGAAUAUUUACUGUAUGGACCCUUCACGUAAGAAAGAAAAAAAUGUAUGUGUGAGUAUGUGCAUCUGCUUACUUGUGGAAAAAGUAUAAGAACAGGAAAGAUAAAACACAACUAAGGAGAACGUUUUCUUCUAAGGAAUGGGUAGAAACCAGUUGUAAAGAAUGUGAGACAAGGAACUAAGUAGUAGAAAUGGAAGGAGAGAAGGCUCUAUCUACUGAGAGGGCCGAAAGGCAAUGACUUCUCAAUAGCAAGGAGCCUAAAGCCCAGAUAUUGGUUUCUAAAUACCACUGUCUCAUAAAAAGAGUUAGGGUUCUUUGGAGAAACAACUGAUUCCAGGGCUGAAGAAGGAAAAAUAGAAAAUGAGUCUGGAACAUCUUGCGGUGCUAGAAAGUAAUGACGUUCAAAAAACGUCAGGGCCAUGUCAAAAGAACACAAAGGCCAUCUUGAAAGAGUUCCCAGUGGCCAAAGCAGGGAUAAUUUAAGUAAUAAACCGAAUAAUGAUGGUACUGAGUUUUAACUCAGAGAAUAAAAUAAAUAUCCAUGCAUCCAUACUGAUAUAAAGAAAUGAUUUAAUAAAUAAGUAAAUAAAUGUGAGAGAAAGGACUAAUCAUCUGUACAGCAGAAUUCCAACUCAAAUUUAGAAGGAACAAUGGAAACGGAAAAUGAUCAUUAGACAAACACCGCAGUAACAGUUUUUACAGGCAAGAACUAUUCACAAAUGAUAAAAUUUGUGGGCGGAACCUUGAAUGAUGAGGAGUAGUAUAUUUCCAUAGCCUCAAAUUAACUCCCCACGAGGUACUUAUUAAUUACAAAGAAAAAAAACAGUAAGUUUGCAGUGAAGAAACCUGGCAGACACCACCUUAACCACUUGAUCAAAGCUAAUAUCAUCCAUAAGAAGACAUAAUAUCAUGUACUCUAAGGACAAAUAUAAAUUAAGAGGAUUAAUUCUCCCUAAUGAAAAUAGGAGAGUCCCCCUCACCCACCUUUGUCUCAGAGCAUUUACUUUAGAAAACUUGCAAUUGUAAGUACUUUCUCCUCUCUUUGAAAUGUCUAUAAAAUCUUUUUGAAGAUCAGAUAUCCUUUUGUCAGCUUUAUGACCUAGGAAUGUCGUUCUCGAGGACCUAGGACGGAAAAAUCAAGGGAGACAGUACCCUUAUUUCAGUACCCUUAUUUCCCAGUUUCUGUGGGAGGACUGGAGCCUAUCUUUGGUGGGCACCAUGCUCCAACUUGCAAAACUACUUCCUGUCAUAAAGCUAUGAAUAGUUUAUCUUCUGGAUAAAGCCAAUUAGCUAACACAGAUGGUCAUUCCAACUACCAUGUGAAUUUAGGGUGAAUUAUGAAAAAUGGUCCUGUCAAGUUCUCUACUUGAGGACUGAUUAUAGUUUAUCUCGGAAAAAAAUGUAUGUAGUGGGUUGCAUCUGCUUGGCUAUAUAAAAGAGUAAGAUUUCUUUCUGUCUUGGCAAUCUCUCAGUGAAUUGCCUGUGAUGUGCAUCAUAUUCUGGUUUAAUGCUUAUUCAAUAAUAAAAGUGCUUUCUUUCUCUACUUAUCUUUAGAGAGGAUUUCUAGAUUGAGAGAUUUUGUUUUAAAUUAUAUUUCCCCAACAGUAUCCUCUGACAUGAUGCACUGAGCAGGGCACUUCAUCAUUCCCCGGUGUUCUUGCCAAAAAAUAAAGAACCUCAACCCAAUCACAAGAAAACAUCAGGCAAAACCAUACUGAAGGACAUCCUACAAAAGAACAGACCUUCAAAGUUCUUGAGGUCAUAAAAAACUAGAGAACAGUAACAGGUAGAACUAGGUCAAAGGAACCUCACCUCCACAUCAAAACUGCACUAUCCAGGAGGUCAAAGCACAUGAUGUAGACAAAGAAGAAUGUUCAAGGUUCAGAGAGGUUUUUUCCUUAACUAAAAGCAUAAGAAAACCUCGGAAAGUAAUAAUGGCUCACGACUGUCAAUGGCACUGGGACCCUCCUUAUGUGAUUAGCCCACUGGGAGCUUAUCUGCAGCCUGCCCUCAGUGAAAUACAUUCACCAAGAACAGAAAAUUAAGGAGAGUGCAAGUCUGUUAAGGAAAACACUUGAAGAAAUAAAAUCUGCAUUUGGUCUAAGAACUUUAAAAAAAAAAAAAAAAAAAA